rnacentral:rRNA from 1 species
AGCAGCCGCGGUAAUUCCAGCUCCAAUAGCGUAUAUUAAAGUUGUUGCAGUUAAAAAGCUCGUAGUUGAAUUUCGGGGUUAGUAGGUCGGUCAUGCCACUGGUAUGUACUGGUCUCACUGAUUCCUCCUUCCUGAUGAACCGUAAUGCCAUUAAUUUGGUGUUGCGGGGAGACUGGACUGUUACUUUGAAAAAAUUAGAGUGUUUAAAGCAGGCUAACGCUUGAAUACAUUAGCAUGGAAUAAUGAAAUAGGACGUUCGAUCCUAUUUUGUUGGUUUCUAGGAUUGACGUAAUGAUUAAUAGGGAUAGUUGGGGGCAUUAGUAUUCAAUUGUCAGAGGUGAAAUUCUUGGAUUUAUUGAAGACUAACUACUGCGAAAGCAUUUGCCAAGGAUGUUUUCAUUAAUCAAGAACGAAAGUUAGGGGAUCGAAGACGAUCAGAUACCGUCGUAGUCUUAACCAUAAACUAUGCCGACUAGGGAUCGGAUGAUGUUAAUUUUUUAAUGACUCAUUCGGCGCCUUACG